CGACCAGACGCAGCAGCAUCAACAACAACAAUCUAGAGGCGGCAAAAAGGAGAGAAAAGGAGACCAGUGACCGCGUUAAAUGGCUCCUGAGGCGGAGGCUACAGAGGUGGAUGAAUGAGGGGGUCACGGUGAUGUCACCUAUUUUUUUGAUUGCCACCUUUUGUGUCAGUUCAGUAUUCAGUUAUGAGUUGAAACCUUUGACCAAAACAAUCCAUCCUCAAGCUAACAAGAUUAAGAUAUUUUUGUCUUCCUCAGUGGAUGGAUGGUUGGUGAUGUCACUCAUUUGUUUGAUUGCAACCUUUUGUGUAAUAAAAGCUGGUCAAAAUACAUGAAAAA